UACAGGGGGGUGCAAACGUUGCUCGGAAUCAUUGGGCGUAAAGCGCACGUAGGCGGUUCGUUAUGUCGGAUGUGAAAGCCCUUGGCUUAACCGAGGAAGUGCAUCUGAAACUGGCGCUAGAGUACGAAAGAGGAUCGCGGAAUUCCCGGUGUAGAGGUGAAAUUCGUAGAUAUCGGGAGGAACACCGGUGGCGAAGGCGGCGAUCUGGGGUCGAUACUGAACGCUGAGGUGCGAAAAGCGUGGGGGAGCAAACAGGG
rnacentral:rRNA from 1 species